ACAUCCAGCGAACUUUGGCAGAGAUGCCUUGGUGCCUUCGGGAACGCUGAGACAGGUGCUGCAUGGCUGUCGUCAGCUCGUGUUGUGAAAUGUUGGGUUAAGUCCCGCAACGAGCGCAACCCUUUAUCCUUUUGUUGCCAGCGAUUCGGUCGGGAACUCAAAGGAGACUGCCGGUGAUAAACCGGAGGAAGGUGGGGAUGACGUCAAGUCAUCAUGGCCCUUACGAGUAGGGCUACACACGUGCUACAAUGGCGCAUACAAAGAGAGGCGACCUCGCGAGAGCAAGCGGACCUCAUAAAGUGCGUCGUAGUCCGGAUCGGAGUCUGCAACUCGACUCCGUGAAGUCGGAAUCGCUAGUAAUCGUGGAUCAGAAUGCCACGGUGAAUACGUUCCCGGGCCUUGUACACACCGCCCGUCACACCAUGGGAGUGGGUUGCAAAAGAAGUAGGUAGCUUAACCCUCGGGAGGGCGCUUACCACUUUGUGAUUCAUGACUGGGGUGAAGUCGUAACAAGGUAGGCGUAGCGAG
rnacentral:rRNA from 1 species